rnacentral:lncRNA from 1 species
AUAAAAUGCUACUGUAAAACCAAGCUUCCUGAUGGGAAUGGAAAUGAAAGGAUCCAGAACUAAUGGAGACCAGGUAGCAGCACUUGGUCAUCAGAAGCAAGGUUUGUGCCAGAGUCCUGCAUAAUGAAGCCUCUGAAGAAGAAAGGGCAAGAGCAGAAGCAAAUAUGCAAUUUUUCCUAAAACCGCUAUGUGAUAUUGAAAGCAUCAGCUUUGGGGCCCAUGUAAUGGUGUACCAUGGCCAAGGGUAGAAAAUUUUCCUUUACUUCAGCAGGAUCUUGAACUGGGAGAUGAAUCUAACGUAAGAUGCAAAGCAGGAGAGGUCAUAACAGCCAGACUACUCUGACUAGUCUAUAUCUGGAGUUGUUUGGAAGUCCCAGAGGACAGAGGACAUACUGCAUCAUGGAGAAUCCGAUGGGGUGAGGAAGAUUCAACAUCACUAUAACAGAUAUAUGGCCAAAGACAAAAAUUGAGAAAACAGUGGUACAAUAAGGUAAUAAGAGGCCAGCAUUCCCAAGUACAUAUGUGAGAAAAUUGAAGAGUUCAGCUAGUGGCCAGGAGGACUGUUUACAUGACCACAUAUGGAUUUCUUGAAAUACUUGAGAAAUUUAAGAAGAUCAAGUCUCCACAGUUUUUUAGAUGACAGCUGAGCCAGGAAAUACUGCCAUGUUAUAAUUCUCCCGAUCUAGUUUACCCCCAGGUUAAAUUGGCUGGAUUGGAACAAAACUGAUUUCUCAUCAGUGGCUUCAGUGGCUUACCUGUCUUCUAGAGUGGGAAAGCAUAAAGACAGAAUUAAUAACAUGAAUUCUAAAUGGUUUUUCUGUUUCAUUCAACAAAGACUGUGGAUAGGAAUAAUGCCUAGUAUAAACUUAGAUGCUUUUCCAAUGAGAAGAAUCUGGUAUAUUUUCUCUUGUCACUCAUCAUAAAAUAUCUCUGAUGAGUGAAUUAAACAAACUGAAGCAAACUACAGACCCUCUGGUUUUGAGGAAAUGUUAUAAACAGGUUUGAGUUUCAGUCCCAGCU